rnacentral:rRNA from 1 species
AUGACGAGCCACCUUGCAUACGGGCAAGCGUGCCGUGCAUCGCGGGAAGCAUCAAUGCGACGAGAGGCUCGUCAUACAUCACGUGACCAACGGCGGGUGCUUCGACGACUUCAACAAGGCGAUGGAAGAGUGCCGCGGCCGCUACGGUCCCGACACGUCACAACUCGACCUGAUCCGAGGCGUCGCCAAGCGUGUGGUGGACAUGGAGGCGUGCGUCAAGGCCACGGCGGCGCCGCGGGAGUGCUUCGCCGUCAAUCCCGCGGUGUUCAAGCACCAGUACCUCCGCCGCAUGGACGAGGGCCUCGACCAGGACACCAACCCAUCGCCGGACGAUAUUUCGAGGGAUGA